CACGUAGGGGGCAAGCGUUGUCCGGAUUUAUUGGGCGUAAAGAGCUCGUAGGCGGUUCGGUAAGUUGGGUGUGAAACCUCCAGGCUCAACCUGGAGACGCCACCCGAUACUGCUGUGACUAGAGUCCGGUAGGGGAGCGUGGAAUUCCUGGUGUAGCGGUGAAAUGCGCAGAUAUCAGGAGGAACACCAGCGGCGAAGGCGGCGCUCUGGGCCGGAACUGACGCUGAGGAGCGAAAGCAUGGGGAGCGAACAGG
rnacentral:rRNA from 1 species